CAGCACGAACCCGUCGAAACUGAAAACAAAGAUGAGUGCAGCGCGAGACGAGAUAAUUCAACUCUUCAUAAACAAGUUUGCGUCAAUACAAUUGGAACCAGGAAGGCGAACGUACAAAUCUUAUCUCCUGUUCUUAUUCAUACUCGCAUCACAUGCGAAUCAAGUAUUUUUCGGCGCGAUGCUAGUCGCAAAGAGUAAUAAAUUUCUUAUCAUGGCCACUGGUGUUAAAACAGUCAUAGUUAAUUUUCAACUAGUGAAAAUAUUAGCAGCUUGGCGCCAAAAUGACAUACUAGAUUUGUUUGAAAGUCAUAAAAUUUUUUGGGAUGACGAGUCAACUGAACGUAUUUACAAGAUUGCAUUGCGUGGAACCAAAGCAUUUCAAUAUGUUAUGUAUGCAUCCUAUGCUACAAUAAUUGUUUUACCAAACUUUUUGGGCCAUUUAGCGUUUGAUGUGUACUUAAAUUUCCCUGGCGCAUUUUGGAUGCAUUCUAUUUUACAAAUCGUACAAUUUUGGUAUGCAAUGGAGAUCGUUAUUGUUGUCGACUGUUUGUUCUUGUGUCUUUCGUUCUUCGUUUCAGGGCAAUUUCGAUUAUUGCACAAACGACUCGAAAACUUAGGCAAAGUUGAACAUAACAUGUAUGAAGAAGCUAGACAGUGUGUAAAACACCAUGUAUUCUUACUCAAAUAUAUAGAAAGAUAUGCUCACAUGUUUCAAUAUCCUUUGCUCUCACAAUAUUGCGUUACUACCGCAAGUCUUUGUGUAGAAGCUUUUGUCAUCACCAAGGCGUCUAUGGCAGGAGUAGUACAAAGCUGCAUUUAUUUAUUCAUUUUACUUUUUCAAUUGGCUUUGUACUGUUUUCCGGCUGAUCGAGUAAUUCAAGACGCAUUAAAUACCAAUCAAGCAAUUUUUAAUUGCAAUUGGUAUAGUCAUAGACACUUUGCAAACACAUUUGUACAAAAUAUUAUGGUACAAUCUCAGAGAGUGGUUGUUUUCAGCGCUGGGGGAUUCAUGGAUAUAAACAGGGCGUCAUUUACGAAUAUAUUCAAAUGGACUAUGUCAUUUUAUGCCAUGAUGCGCGACUUCGCAAGAAUACUCGAUUAAUUGAUUGCUUAUUACUUAUUUAUUAUAUUACUUAAUACUUAUAUCCAUAUGGCCUUGCUAUUUAAAUUACCGAUAUAUUAUAAAAACUGUUCAAAGAACACUUUCGAUU